rnacentral:rRNA from 1 species
UACGUAGGUCCCGAGCGUUGUCCGGAUUUAUUGGGCGUAAAGCGAGCGCAGGUGGUUUAUUAAGUCUGGUGUAAAAGGCAGUGGCUCAACCAUUGUAUGCAUUGGAAACUGGUUGACUUGAGUGCAGAAGAGGGAAGUGGAAUUCCAUGUGUAGCGGUGAAAUGCGUAGAGAUAUGGAGGAACACCAGUGGCGAAGGCGGCUUCCUGGUCUGCAACUGACACUGAGGCGCGAAAGCGUGGGGAGCAAACAGG